GAUGAACGCUAGCGGCAGGCUUAAUACAUGCAAGUCGAGGGGCAGCAUGAUUGUAGCAAUACAAUUGAUGGCGACCGGCAAACGGGUGCGGAACACGUACACAACCUCCCAAUAAGUGGGGAAUAGCCCAGAGAAAUUUGGAUUAAUACCCCGUAACAUAACGAUGUGGCAUCACAUUGUUAUUAUAGAUUUUUCGCUUAUUGAUGGGUGUGCGGCUGAUUAGAUAGUUGGCGGGGUAACGGCCCACCAAGUCUACGAUCAGUAGCUGAUGUGAGAGCAUGAUCGGCCACACGGGAACUGGGACACGGGCCCGACUCCUACGGGAGGCAGCAGUAAGGAAUAUUGGACAAUGGACGCAAGUCUGAUCCAGCCAUGCCGCGUGAAGGAUUAAGGUCCUCUGGAUUGUAAACUUCUUUUAUAAGGGACGAAAAAAGGCUUUUCUAAGUCGUCUGACGGUACCUUAUGAAUAAGCACCGGCUAACUCCGUGCCAGCAGCCGCGGUAACAC
rnacentral:rRNA from 1 species